GAGUCCUUAACGCUAUUAUAUACUUGAUCUUGAUAUCCUACGUGGAUAACUGUGGUAAUUCUAGAGCUAAUACAUGCACCAAAGCUCCGAAUUUUUGACGAGCGCAUCUAUUAGAUUAAAACCAAUCGGGUUUCGGCCCGUUUGUUGGUGACUCUGAAUAACUAUGGCUAAUCGCAGUGGCUUGAACCGGAAACGUGUCUAUCAAGUGUCUGCCUUAUCAACUUUCGAUGGUAGUUUAUGUGCCUACCAGGGUUGUAACGGGUAACGGAGAAUAAGGGUUCGACUCCGGAGAGGGAGCCUGAGAAACGGCUACCACAUCCCAGGAAGGCAGCAGGCGCGCAAAUUACCCACUCUCGGCAUGAGGAGGUAGUGACCAAAAAUAACGAGACCGUUCUCUAUGAGGCCCGGUUAUCGGAAUGGGUACAAUUUAAACCCCGUUAACGAGGAUCUAUGAGAGGGCAAGUCUGGUGCCCGCCAGCCCCGGUAAUUCCCGCCUCUCAAAGUGUAUAUCGUCCUUGGCUGCGGUUAAAAAAGCUCGUAGUUUGGAAUCUGCGCCCUCAGGACCUGGGUCCGCCCACUGGGGUGAAAAACUGGGCUCCUGGGGCUAGUUCUGCUGGGUUUUCCCCUACCUUGGCCUUCAUCGGUAGCGUAAGGGUGGGCUAAGCGAGUUUUACUUUAGAAAAAAAAUUACAGUGCUUCCCGGCGGGGCUUUAUGGUCUGAAUUACUCGGUGGCAGGGAAUAGUAGAUACGAAUCUCCGCUCCAAUCUUGUUGCGUUUUCCUGAUCUGAGAUAUGGAUAAAAGGGGACGGGAGCGGGGGCAAUUCGUAUCGGCUGCGGUGAAACGGUGCAAAAUACUUGGUACCGUGUAGACGAGAACGUUCGAACUGGGAACGACCUUUGGCCAGGAAAGUUCUCGUGAAUCAGAACGAAACGUCAGAGGAUAGAAGGCCAUCCGAAUUCGGCUAUAAGCUCUCGGAGACGAGUCAUUUUCGAUAACAAUCGUGGCUCGAUAGCCGUUAAACUGUCCUUCGAACGUGCACUACUGGCCGACA
rnacentral:rRNA from 1 species